ACGGUCGAAUCACGCUGAAACACCGGUUCUCGUUCGAUCACCGAAGUUAAGCAUCGUAGAGCCAGGUCAGUACUUAGAUGGGGGACCGCUUGUGAACACUGGUACUGUAAG
rnacentral:rRNA from 1 species